rfam:Pseudomonas fuscovaginae strain IRRI 6609 Pf_IRRI_6609_contig_6.6, whole genome shotgun sequence.
GGGGCCGUUUUGGAUUCGACGCUGGUUGCGAAACUCUAGGUGCAUGCCGAGUUGGUAACAGAACUCGUUAAUCCACUGUUGCAACUUCUAUAGUUGCCAACGACGACCAAUACGGUGCUGCUCUCGCUGCUUAAUUGCAGCUGACAUGCACUUCUGGUGCCUUCGGGCCCAGCAAUCAUCAGGGGAUGUCUGUAAACCCGAAAUGAUUGUCAUACAGAACAGAAUCGCCGCGUAGUACGUUGUGGACGAAGUGGCUAAAACUUACACAACUCGCCCAAAGCACCCUGCCCGUCGGGUCGCUGAGGGUUAACUCAAUAGACACGGCUAAGCAUGUAGGACCGACAGCGGAGUACUGGCGGACGGGGGUUCAAAUCCCCCCGGCUCCACCA